UGACGCAGGCCGCCGGGCCCGGGAACUUCCUCCCGCGGAGACCACCCCGCGCCCGGGCCGGCCGCCCAGGACAGCCGCCGGCCGCCGAGGACUUCCUUCAGGGCGCCCAAGAAGAUCUCCCGCCGCUUGCCGGUGGAGCCCCUCCGGCCUCUGGAACGCCCACCUGGCGGCCAGUGCCUGAGGAAUGGACCGGGGCCACUACCUUCCCCAUCCCGAACCCGAGGCUUCCCUGCGCUGGCGGCCGCGCCACAGUCGCAGCUCCACCCCGGGGGUGAAAAGCGAACUCUGCCUUAUUGAAAGCCGAGUCACCUGAAUAGAAAAUCUCCCCAAUGGAAAAAUGUACAGACAAGAUUACUAAGUAAUAUAUGAUCUUCUGGAAUGCCUUACCAAUAUGAGUUUUUCUAAGAGCACCAACAAUUAAACGAUUGCUUUGUGUUGGCAUUCAGGAAAAGAGGGGCGUAUGCCAGCAGAGCAAUUCAUAGACAGCUAGUCUUUUUUUGCUAGUUGGUUUGUUCUUACACACCAAACCUUAAGAAAGCAGGCCUCUUUCCUUUUACCCCAUUUUUAUCUCCAAGUCAAAAUUAAAAUUUGUCAAAAAGUUGAUUUCUUAGUCUUAACUGAUUUUUCCAUGCUCCUCUGGCAAAUUCCUACACGUUUUCGAAUUCCAGUACUGUUGUUGGGUGUCUUUCACAGAAGAAAACAUUCAACCCUCUUAGUCCUUAGGAGAUGACCCUAACAUUAGCCUUAAUUAACCUAGAGAACAACACUUAAUUCUAAAGUGGGGCCUUCCUCCUAGAUAGCAGGUGGGAAAAGUUCCUGGAAGUUUCCUAGAGAAAAGACAGAGGCUGACUAGCAAUUUGCUGCAAACAAACAAAAAAAAAUUUUUUUAAGUAAAAAUUUGAGUACCUUGUAGGCCACCAGGUACUAGCUGAGUCAACUAGUUAACUCAGGUUAAAUACCUUACCUGGAUUUAAACAGUGAGGUGAUCACUAAGGGCACAAAUAUCCUGUGGAGGGCUUUGGUCUCCAGAGGCUUUCUGCCUGCACCUCUAUCCUCCUUGUGUUCCUAAACUCAAGCUUAGUCCUCCCUGAAAUGCUGCCUCACUGCCCAGUGUCAAGGAAGCACAAUCCUAGACUUUGGACUGAGGUGAACCAGGAAGAAAUCCCUGCUUUUUCUGUGUAAAUGUAAGGAAAUUACUGCUACUUCCCCCCACCCCAUCAAAAAUGUAAGUAUAGUACUAUAGGGUGAUGUGAGAAUUAAAUAACACACUUAAAUCACCAAGAACAGGGCCAAAC
rnacentral:lncRNA from 1 species